CCUACGUGAGGCAGCAGUGGGGAAUAUUGCACAAUGGGGGAAACCCUGAUGCAGCGACGCCGCGUGAGUGAAGAAGUAUUUCGGUAUGUAAAGCUCUGUCAGCAGGGAAGAAAAUGACGGUACCUGACCAAGAAGCCCCGGCUAACUACGUGCCAGCAGCCGCGGUAAUACGUAGGGGGCAAGCGUUAUCCGGAUUUACUGGGUGUAAAGGGAGCGUAGACGGCAGGGCAAGUCUGGAGUGAAAGGCGGGGGCUCAACCCCCGGACUGCUCUGGAAACUGCCAGGCUGGAGUGCAGGAGAGGUAAGUGGAAUGACUAGUGUAGCGGUGAAAUGCGUAGAUAUACGGAGGAACACCAGUGGCGAAGGCGGAUUGCUGGACAGUAACUGACGCUGAGGCGCGAAAGCGUGGGGAGCAAACAGGAUUAGAUACCCGUGUAGUC
rnacentral:rRNA from 1 species